GUGAACCACUCAUGCUGAUGAGUUGCAUUAACAACGAAACAGCUGUCCAUGAGUGGUUUACUGGCAC